UACGAAGGGGGCUAGCGUUGCUCGGAAUCACUGGGCGUAAAGCGCACGUAGGCGGCUUACUAAGUCAGGGGUGAAAUCCUGGAGCUCAACUCCAGAACUGCCUUUGAUACUGGUGAGCUUGAGUCCGGAAGAGGUGAGUGGAACUGCGAGUGUAGAGGUGAAAUUCGUAGAUAUUCGCAAGAACACCAGUGGCGAAGGCGGCUCACUGGUCCGGUACUGACGCUGAGGUGCGAAAGCGUGGGGAGCAACAGGAUUAAGAAACCCU
rnacentral:rRNA from 1 species